rnacentral:rRNA from 1 species
AUUGAACGCUGGCGGAAUGCUUUACACAUGCAAGUCGAGCGGCAGCGCGGGGGCAACCCUGGCGGCGAGCGGCGAACGGGUGAGUAACACAUCGGAACGUACCCAGUUGUGGGGGAUAGCCCGGCGAAAGCCGGAUUAAUACCGCAUACGACCUGAGGGUGAAAGGGGGGGAUCGCAAGACCCCUCGCAGGUGGAGCGGCCGAUGGCGGAUUAGCUAGUUGGUGAGGUAAAGGCUCACCAAGGCGACGAUCCGUAGCUGGUCUGAGAGGACGACCAGCCACACUGGAACUGAGACACGGUCCAGACUCCUACGGGAGGCAGCAGUGGGGAAUUUUGGACAAUGGGGGCAACCCUGAUCCAGCCAUUCCGCGUGAGUGAAGAAGGCCUUCGGGUUGUAAAGCUCUUUCGGCAGGAACGAAACGGUGGAGGCUAAUACCUUUCAUCAAUGACGGUACCUGAAGAAGAAGCACCGGCUAACUACGUGCCAGCCGCCGCAGUAA